GUGAGAAACUAUGGACUAGGAUAUUGUUUAUUAAGAUUUAUGUUAAGCCCAAUGUAAAGGUUAGGCAACAAAGAUGUGAAAUCGCUUAUGCAAACAGAAACCCGGACACUGCUUGAGUAAGAUAAGAUAACCACAAUCGCGAGAUAACCGCCAGACUUCCAGGAACCGACAGAAACAGGACAAACAACCCCAGAUAAGGACAUGUGAAUGAGGGGUCAACUAUGGGAUAAAGGAGAAAGACUUCUUAUUUCGGCCUCAACGACCACCAGGAGGUAGAAAACGACCCCCUAACAACAACUGAAGCAUGCGCAGAGUACCUCCACUACUUCAUGAACACGGAAGUAAAGAUGUAUAAAAAGGGACUGUUUGAACUGCUCAGCACGGCAGUGGCGGAGCGCAGACUCCCCUGUCGUCCAGCGCUGUUUUUGCUCAUAUUCUACUUGCUAUAAUUAAUAAAAUUUUAAUUGGAUUAUGAUCCGUUGUGGUCACAAUUUAUGACAAUUUCUGGUGCCGUGACUCGGAUAAGGAACGGUGGGCUUUGGUCCUCCGGGGAGGCGCCCCGCGACAUUUCGCAGCCCCGCGACCAACAGCUCACUCCAACCUUACCGACGAACCUAAAUUCUAGGAUAUUGAGCAAAAAAGGACCGGUAAAAUCCCAUAAAAUUCUGUGCACGGGAGUCCGGACGAAGACGCAGGACGCAAACAGCUGUCCGAACUGCUGAGCGUGGAUGGACUCAUGCCAGUCGCAUUAAAGGCCCAGUGACGAGACCCCACUGGAAAGUAAUCAGUACUCCAGGUGACACCAAGAUAACCCUGAAAAGAUAACGUAAUGAUAAAGACUUUAUUUGAUUAUUUUGCCGCAUUACCUUUCGGUAUAAAGUGUGUAUUGCUGUUUAUAUUUGCUAUAAUUAUUUCUCUUUUUUCUAUUAUAUAUGGAAGCGUACAAAGUGUGUUGAAGGAAAUUGCUAAACUUAUGCAACCUCACAAUAUUAAAUAUAGAAGAUAUGUUGAUGUAAAUAAUAUAUGCACUCUAGAUAUACGAAUUAGGUGGGUGUAAUGAUUUGAACUGCAAUUGUUAUCCAUUUGCUUGUUUUAGGUGUAAGGUAUGCCAGGAUAAAUGGUAGACACAUUGUGAAUGUGGAUACCCUCCAAUAGGAGUUUGCACACAGUGUUGGAAAAUCCAAAGAACUCUCACUGAGUGGAAAUUAAAACAAUUAGAGUCUAAACAAGAAAUUAUUCGGGAAUCCCAUGAGUGGUGGGAAAUUUUUGCCAAAGGAAUAAACCCUCAAUAUUAUUGCUACCACUCCAACGAACCAGUCCCCUUUGUAGCUGAAAUUUUGGUUAUAAAAUGCAGAAGGGAAGUACUGACCGUGUCUUACUUUGCCCCAUUAGUUAAAGCUGCAAAGUGGGAAGCCUAUAUAAACAGGCAGAAAGCCCGAAACAACUGUUCUCCUGAAGAAUUCCCUUGCUGCCGAGAAGAUGGUACACCCCGUGGCUCGAAGCAACCGAGUCGACGGGCGAGGCAGAGGAGGAACAAACUGUGGAGAAAAGAACCAGAAUGAUGGGACACAAAAGCAGCAAUGGCCGAACUUCCCCAGGACUGGUAAAAAUAUACUUAAAUUGGCAAAAUUAACAGACACCCUUUUUUCUGGUAUACCGUUAGUUUUGUUAUUGAUAAUAACCCAAGCAAAUGGAAACCCUCAUAAACCUAUGAACUAGACAAUAACAAACAUAAAAUACACUUUAUUAAAGAACGGUUUGACAUAGCUAAACUGCUUAUUUUAACUACGAGGUCUGGGGCAAAAUAUAAGAGUGUAUCUAUUAAUGAAGAUGAAGAUUGCUGUGAAUACAUUAUGCCACGUGAGAACUAUGCCUUUUGUAAUUGUGAGGUAUAACCUUGUGAGUGUUAUGAUAAAUAUUGGGAUUGUGGAAAAAG